UUGCAGCCAGUUAAGCCUACUGUGCUCUUUUCUCCCAUGGGGGCCUGGUGUGCAAUGGCUGCAAACAGUGGCCUCCUCAGUAGUGUAUGCAGCCUGUUGCCUGUACCGCUUGCCCCAAGGGAACUUGGAGACAGCU
rnacentral:snoRNA from 1 species